rnacentral:rRNA from 1 species
UUUACUUUAAAUUUAAAGAAUUUGGCGGUGAUUUAGUCUUGUUAGAGGAACCUGUUUUUUAAUCGAUAUGCCACGUAUAAUUUUACUUGUUUUAUAUUAGUUUGUAUACCAUCAUUAAAAGAUAAUUUUAUAAGAAAAAAUUAUUUAAAUUAAUAUUAUUUAAAUAAAUUAGAUCAAGGUGCAGCUUAUAAGCAAGUUAAAAUGGGUUACAAUAAGAUUUAUUUAUAAUGGAAUAUUUUUGUAAGAGAAAUAAGAAGGAGGAUUUAAUUGUAAUAUAAGUUUAAUAAGCUUAUGUGAUAAUAGCUCUAAAUUAUGUACACAUCGCCC